CUGAGAAAGUAACUGCCCGUACCGCAAACCGACACAGGUAGUUGAGGAGAGAAUCCUAAGGUGUGCGAGAGAACUCUCGUUAAGGAACUCGGCAAAAUGACCCCGUAACUUCGGGAGAAGGGGUGCUGACCGCAAGGCCAGCCGCAGUGAAUAGGCCCAAGCGACUGUUUAUCAAAAACACAGGUCUCUGCAAAAUCGAAAGAUGACGUAUAGGGGCUGACGCCUGCCCGGUGCUGGAAGGUUAAGAGGAGAGGUUAGCGCAAGCGAAGCUUUGAAUUGAAGCCCCAGUAAACGGCGGCCGUAACGAUAACGGUCCUAAGGUAGCGAAAUUCCUUGUCGGGUAAGUUCCGACCCGCACGAAAGGCGUAACGAUUUGGGCACUGUCUCAACGAGAGACUCGGUGAAAUUAUAGUACCAGUGAAGAUGCUGGUUACCCGCGACAGGACGGAAAGACCCCAUGGAGCUUUACUGCAGUUUGAUAUUGCGUGUUUGUAUCACAUGUACAGGAUAGGUAGGAGCCGAAGAUACCGGGACGCCAGUCUCGGAGGAGGCAACGGUGGGAUACUACCCUUGUGAUAUGACCACUCUAACCCGCUGCUCUUAGCGAGCAGGGAGACAGUGUCAGACGGGCAGUUUGACUGGGGCGGUCGCCUCCAAAAAUGUAACGGAGGCGCCCAAAGGCUCCCUCAGAAUGGUUGGAAAUCAUUCGUAGAGUGUAAAGGCAGAAGGGAGCUUGACUGCGAGACCUACAAGUCGAGCAGGGACGAAAGUCGGGCUUAGUGAUCCGGUGGUUCCGCAUGGAAGGGCCAUCGCUCAACGGAUAAAAGCUACCCUGGGGAUAACAGGCUUAUCUCCCCCAAGAGUUCACAUCGACGGGGAGGUUUGGCACCUCGAUGUCGGCUCAUCGCAUCCUGGGGCUGUAGUCGGUCCCAAGGGUUGGGCUGUUCGCCCAUUAAAGCGGUACGCGAGCUGGGUUCAGAACGUCGUGAGACAGUUCGGUCCCUAUCCGUCGCGGGCGUUGGAAAUUUGAGAGGAGCUGUCCUUAGUACGAGAGGACCGGGAUGGACACACCGCUGGUGUACCAGUUGUUCUGCCAAGAGCAUCGCUGGGUAGCUAUGUGUGGACGGGAUAAACGCUGAAAGCAUCUAAGCGUGAAGCCCCCCUCAAGAUGAGAUUUCCCAUCACUUUAAGUGAGUAAGACCCCUGAGAGAUGAUCAGGUAGAUAGGUUGGGAGUGGAAGUACAGCGAUGUAUGGAGCGGACCAAUACUAAUCGGUCGAGGACUUAAUC
rnacentral:rRNA from 1 species